rnacentral:rRNA from 1 species
CCUACGGGAGGCAGCAGUGGGGAAUAUUGCACAAUGGGGGGAACCCUGAUGCAGCAACGCCGCGUGGGUGAAGAAGUACUCCGGUAUGUAAAGCCCUGUCAGCAGGGAAGAAAAUGACGGUACCUGACCAAGAAGCCCCGGCUAACUACGUGCCAGCAGCCGCGGUAAUACGGAGGGUGCGAGCGUUAAUCGGAAUUACUGGGCGUAAAGCGCUCGUAGGCGGUAUGUCAAGUCAAGGGUGAAAUCCCCGCGCUCAACGUGGGAACUGCCUUUGAAACUGGCAAACUGGAGUGUGUGAGAGGAUAGUGGAAUUCCAGGUGUAGGAGUGAAAUCCGUAGAUAUUAGGAGGAACACCAGUGGCGAAGGCGGCUUACUGGACUGUAACUGACGUUGAGGCUCGAAAGCGUGGGGAGCAAACAGGAUUAGAUACCCUAGUAGUC